UGGCUCAGAUUGAACGCUGGCGGCAGGCCUAACACAUGCAAGUCGAGCGGUAGAGAGAAGCUUGCUUCUCUUGAGAGCGGCGGACGGGUGAGUAAUGCCUAGGAAUCUGCCUGGUAGUGGGGGAUAACGUUCGGAAACGGACGCUAAUACCGCAUACGUCCUACGGGAGAAAGCAGGGGACCUUCGGGCCUUGCGCUAUCAGAUGAGCCUAGGUCGGAUUAGCUAGUUGGUGGGGUAAUGGCUCACCAAGGCGACGAUCCGUAACUGGUCUGAGAGGAUGAUCAGUCACACUGGAACUGAGACACGGUCCAGACUCCUACGGGAGGCAGCAGUGGGGAAUAUUGGACAAUGGGCGAAAGCCUGAUCCAGCCAUGCCGCGUGUGUGAAGAAGGUCUUCGGAUUGUAAAGCACUUUAAGUUGGGAGGAAGGGCAGUAAAUUAAUACUUUGCUGUUUUGACGUUACCGACAGAAUAAGCACCGGCUAACUCUGUGCCAGCAGCCGCGGU
rnacentral:rRNA from 1 species